rnacentral:rRNA from 1 species
UACGGAGGGUGCAAGCGUUAUCCGGAUUCACUGGGUUUAAAGGGUGCGUAGGUUGAUAGGUAAGUCAGUGGUGAAAUACUCCGACUCAAUCGGAGAACUGCCGUUGAUACUAUCUAUCUUGAAUACGGUGGAGGCGGGCGGAAUGCGUCAUGUAGUGGUGAAAUACUUAGAUAUGACGCAGAACACCCAUUGCGAAGGCAGCUCGCUACACCGGCAUUGACACUGAGGCACGAAAGCGUGGGGAUCAAACAGG